GAGUAACGGGAGCAAAGGAAAAGGCAAUGAAGCGAGGGAUUAGACACUGUCGGGAGUGUGGACGCAUUGGUCAUGAUAGAAGACAAUGCCCAGCCUUGAACACACCGACAUCACCGUCGAACAAUGACGAAUCAACUCCAAUACAUCGUAGUGACCCAUUAUUCGACGAUUUUGACAGGAUGCACGGACCAACUGAAUGAUUUAUAUUUGUAUUAGACGAAAUGUGGUUGUUAUGAAGAUUAAUGAUCAGGCUAAUGCAGCAUUUCCAGCAGCCAGCUGUUGUUUCCAUUACCAGUAAUCAUUUCCAGCAGUAGCCACUUUUUCCGACUGGUUAUUAGGGGCACGAUUUUGUACACUUUUGUAACUGAAGGAUACUUGAAGCACUUUGUUGGAACAGAGCAAAUAGAAAGCAGCGUGUAAAAAAGAAACAUAACAUUGCAGCUAA